rnacentral:lncRNA from 10 species
GCGUGGGUCGGGCCGGGGAGGGCCCGCGCGCGCGCUCUGGAGACUCCUGCGGUCUCCCUAGCUGUUUCUUGAAGCUCUGCAUAAGCCUCGCCCGCGGCCGCCGGGUUGCGUCCGCACUUCUGCGCGCUGGCCCCUCCCUUGCUCCUCUCCCUAGCAGUCUCCAGGGUUUUACCGGGAGGACCUAGGCAACGGCCUGAGACUCCGAGACUCUAUGUUGAAGAUGCCUGGACUAACCUACUGAAGAUACGUGGUUUUACCAACAGCCAGCACCAAUAGGAAGAUAUGAAUGAAGCCAUCUGAGACCAGCCAUCUGGCAGCCAAACUGCCAACUGACUGCAAAUGCAUGAAUGAUCCCACUGACACCACGUAGAGCACAAAUGAGUUGCCUCCACUGAGCCCAGCCCAAAUUGUUAUCCUAUAAAAUCAUAAAAACAUAAACAGUUGUUUUAAGUCACUAAGUUUUGGAUAGUUUGUUAUACAACAAAAGCUAGCUGAAACAAAUGUAUUAGCUAGAGCAGCUGUGAAUGGCACUAUUUGCUUAGUUGAUUGGCUGAAAUUUGGACUCACUGGUAGGUUACAUUUAAUGGUGUUGAGUUGCCAGAAUUUCUCUGGAAUAAUGUAUAGGAAGGAUUCUAAUGGCCUAAGCCAUUAGAAUCUCUAAGGAGAUAGAAAUAAAGGAGUGAUUUAUUAUAUGUAACUGUGCCUCUUCCCUCACCACACUUGGUCCUGAAAGAGC